rnacentral:rRNA from 1 species
AACGAACGCUGGCGGCAGGCCUAACACAUGCAAGUCGAGCGCGCCCUUCGGGGUGAGCGGCGGACGGGUGAGUAACGCGUGGGAACGUGCCCUUCUCUGCGGAAUAGCCUCGGGAAACUGAGAGUAAUACCGCAUACGCCCUUUGGGGGAAAGAUUUAUCGGAGAAGGAUCGGCCCGCGUUGGAUUAGGUAGUUGGUGGGGUAAUGGCCCACCAAGCCGACGAUCCAUAGCUGGUUUGAGAGGAUGAUCAGCCACACUGGGACUGAGACACGGCCCAGACUCCUACGGGAGGCAGCAGUGGGGAAUCUUAGACAAUGGGGGCAAACCUGAUCUAGCCAUGCCGCGUGAGUGAUGAAGGCCUUAGGGUUGUAAAGCUCUUUCAGCUGGGAAGAUAAUGACGGUACCAGCAGAAGAAGCCCCGGCUAACUCCGUG